rnacentral:lncRNA from 1 species
CUAACUAUAGUUGUUGGUGCUAGGGUUGUACAUGGAUCGGAUCGGAUUUAGUACAUUUUGGAUUGAAAUUUCGGAUUCGGAUUCUACAAAAUACAAUCCGAAUCUGAUCCGAAUUAAAAUCUGAUCGGAUCAGAUUUUAAAGUUUGGAUCGGAUAAAUAUUUUGAAUUGUCGGAUCGGAUUGUACGUAUUAUUAAGGCUAUUGCUAAUUUAUCCUGUAACAUAAUCAACUCCCUCCAUCCUCUCUGACCAUGUACCAUUUCAUCCAUUCUGCACCAACAACAGAAUAAAAAUUUUCAACACUCACCUUAGCAACAUAAAAGGCAAUUAGUGAUCUUAUAAUGCAUAAAAUGUAAGCAUAAUUUUGAUCUUCAUUUAGUAACAAUUUUAGAUCGUUUCAUACCAAAAGAUCUCUGCGGGAAGGUUAGGCAAGCUGAAUUCAUAGGAUUAUUCGAGUCGAUAAAGGAAGAGGCGUCGUCCGGUCGCCGCCGAUAGUCGGAACACAGAGAAGAAGAAUAGAGCAGCAAUCUCUCUAAAGAGAGCAUAGAGAUAGAGAAGCUCGAUGAAAUAAGACCUAACCCUAAAUCUAUACAUAUCCUAAUAAUUUCGGAUUUCGGAUUGGAUCGGGUUAAAAUUAUACCAAUCCGAAUUCAAUCCGGAUAUUCGAAAUUUUAAAAAAACAUAAUCCAUAUCCGAUCCAAAUAUCCGAAUUGAGCUGAUCGGUUCGGAUUCUCGAAUAUCAGAUCCAAAUGCACAACCCUAAACAAUUGAUGUGAGACAAAUUUGAUGGAUACUGCAGAUAUUGCAAAAGGCUUGCAGCAAAAUAAUCACCUACAUAAAGCUAGAGUAAAAAAUGACAAAAACACUUUAUUAAAGAUCAUUCAUACUGUAUUAUUUAGUUUGGAUUCCCAAGUAUAUACUAUGCAACGCUUCAAUUUAAUACCACGUUCCGCGUGAAAUUAAAUCCCUUAAAGGAUUAAAAAAUUACAUUUACAGAUGAACCAAAUAAAAGGUGAUCGGUUCAUAUUGGUACAACUGGAAAAAACUCAACAGCCUUAUCAUAAUUAUGAGUGCUCUUACGUUUUGGUAUACAUACCACAAAAUAUGUUAUAACUUUAUUUAUUGAGUGUUAUCCGUUUAUAAAGACAAAAAUGUGCUCAACUUUAUAUGAUAUUUUAGUCAUUCAACCUUUUAUUUUAGGUGUUUCCACUUUGAAAGAGAUGUCUUCAACUAAUUUAAACUCAAUUCGUGUAUAUUAUAAAUUCUACAUGUUUCUAACUUAUGGGUUUCUUUCUUAAAUGCAUCAGUUACUAUAUAAAUGAUAAAUGGUCAUUAGAUAUAUCAGAAGAAUUGAAUAUACGAUAAGAUUUUUUUUUUCGACUUUUAAAUUUUUUGAACACAAUGAAUUGAUUAAUUAUUUCACUUAUCAUUUAUUGGAGGAUAAUUUACUAUUUAGUGCCAAAAAUUAUUAUAGGAAUAGUAUUCAGAUGAGGGGUAAUAGUGUCGUUUAAUUUUUGAUGUACAUUUUGGCAAUUCUAACUUUACCCUUAAGGUCUUCCCACUUUUAGUAUAAUAUGAUAUGAUGAUAUGAUAUAAUAUAGUACUAGCUCUUUUUAACCCCCAAAAAAACGACUAAUCAAAUUCUGAUGCAAAGUAUUACAGUAGUUCAACAAAGCCCUAAGUUACUCAAUCUUUUAUGUUUCUGUACAAACUUAGCUAGCUUAUAAUAUUACGACUUGGUUGAUAAAAUAUCAUAAAUGAUUACAGAAAACUUCUUACCAAUAUUAUUUAUUUAUAAGUUUAAUCUUUUUCUUCUUGAAAACACAUAUAUGAGUAGUAGUCAGGAAAAACAAAAUUACAUUGCUCUAGUUAAAUGAAAUGUAAUUAAUGUAAAUAUUUGGUAGUACUAAAGUCUUUCCAAAUAUCUUGGGUCAUCAAUGUCUCCUUCCAGCUAUGUAAACAAAUGCAAUAUCUUCCAUAUUAAUUAGAAAACAUCUUCACUUUUGUAUAUAACAUUGCCAUUCCGAGCAACAAAAAGCACUUAUCUACCAAAUACUUUCACCUUGUUUGCAAAUUUGUUGAGGGAAAAAAAUGACAAGGAAGAAAGUGAAGUUAGCUUUCAUAAUUAAUGACUCGGCAAGAAAAGCAACAUUUAAGAAAAGGAAGAAGGGUCUGAUGAAGAAGGUGAGUGAAUUGAGCACCCUUUGUGGAAUUGAUGCUUGUGCUAUUAUUUAUAGCCCUUAUGAAAACCAACUUGAGGUAUGGCCAAACACCAUGGGAGCUCAACGCGU